rnacentral:rRNA from 1 species
AGAACGAACGCUGGCGGCAUGCCUAAUACAUGCAAGUCGAACGAACACUUCGGUGUUAGUGGCGCACGGGUGCGUAACGCGUGGGAAUCUGCCCUUGGGUUCGGAAUAACAGUUGGAAACGACUGCUAAUACCGGAUGAUAUCGAAAGAUCAAAGAUUUAUCGCCCAGGGAUGAGCCCGCGUAGGAUUAGCUAGUUGGUGAGGUAAAGGCUCACCAAGGCGACGAUCCUUAGCUGGUCUGAGAGGAUGAUCGACGCCACACGUGGACUGAGACGACCGCCAGACCUCCGACGGGAGCAGCGAGGUAGGAAUAGUGACUAAGUGGCGACAAGCCUAGACU